AUUGAACGCUGGCGGCAGGCCUAACACAUGCAAGUCGAGCGGAUGAAGGGAGCUUGCUCCUGGAUUCAGCGGCGGACGGGUGAGUAAUGCCUAGGAAUCUGCCUGGUAGUGGGGGAUAACGUCCGGAAACGGGCGCUAAUACCGCAUACGUCCUGAGGGAGAAAGUGGGGGAUCUUCGGACCUCACGCUAUCAGAUGAGCCUAGGUCGGAUUAGCUAGUUGGUGGGGUAAAGGCCUACCAAGGCGACGAUCCGUAACUGGUCUGAGAGGAUGAUCAGUCACACUGGAACUGAGACACGGUCCAGACUCCUACGGGAGGCAGCAGUGGGGAAUAUUGGACAAAGGGCGAAAGCCUGAUCCAGCCAUGCCGCGUGUGUGAAGAAGGUCUUCGGAUUGUAAAGCACUUUAAGUUGGGAGGAAGGGCAGUAAGUUAAUACCUUGCUGUUUUGACGGUACCAACAGAAUAAGCACCGGCUAACUUCGUG
rnacentral:rRNA from 1 species